rnacentral:rRNA from 1 species
AGCGAACGCUGGCGGCAGGCCUACACAUGCAAGUCGAACGAAGUCUUCGGACUUAGUGGCGGACGGGUGAGUAACACGUGGGAACGUACCUUUUGGUUCGGAACAACUCAGGGAAACUUGAGCUAAUACCGGAUGAGCCCUUAGGGGGAAAGAUUUAUCGCCGAAAGAGCGGCCCGCGUUAGAUUAGCUAGUUGGUGAGGUAAAGGCUCACCAAGGCUACGAUCUACAGCUGGUCUGAGAGGAUGAUCAGCCACACUGGGGCUGAGACACGGCCCAGACUCCUACGGGAGGCAGCAGUGGGGAAUCUUGCGAAAUGGGCGAAAGCCUGACGCAGCCAUGCCGCGUGAAUGAUGAAGGUCUUAGGAUUGUAAAAUUCUUUUACCAGGGACGAUAAUGACGGUACCUGGAGAAAAAGCCCCGGCCAACGUCGUGCCAGCCGCCGCCGUAAUAC